GACGAACGCUGGCGGCGUGGAUUAGGCAUGCAAGUCGAACGGUAUCAUCCUUUCGGGGGUGAGAGAGUGGCGAACUGGUGAGUAACACGUAGGUUAUCUACCCUCAAGACGGGGACAACCCAGGGAAACUUGGGCUAAUACCGGAUGUGAGCAACUUUUAGUUGUUUGAAAGGUGGCGUAAGCUGUCGCUUGGGGAUGAGCCUGCGUCCUAUUAGUUAGUUGGUGAGGUAACGGCUCACCUAGGCAAUGAUAGGUAGGCGGCCUUAACGGGUGGUCGCCCACACUGGGAUUGAGAUACGGCCCAGACUCCUACGGGAGGCAGCAGUCGAGAAUAGUCUACAAUGGUCGGAAGACUGAUAGUGCGACGCCGCGUGAACGAUGAAUCCCUUCGGGGUGUAAAGUUCUUUUACUAUGUGAGCAGUGCUUCUUAUAUUAACAGUAUGGGGAGAGAGAUAUUAGCAUAUGAAUAAGCAACGGCUAACUCCGUGCCAGCAGCCGCGGUUAAACUCGU
rnacentral:rRNA from 1 species